rnacentral:rRNA from 1 species
CGCCAGACUCCUACGGGAGGCAGCAGUGGGGAAUAUUGCACAAUGGGGGAAACCCUGAUGCAGCGACGCCGCGUGAGUGAAGAAGUAUUUCGGUAUGUAAAGCUCUAUCAGCAGGGAAGAAAAUGACGGUACCUGACUAAGAAGCCCCGGCUAACUACGUGCCAGCAGCCGCGGUAAUACGUAGGGGGCAAGCGUUAUCCGGAUUUACUGGGUGUAAAGGGAGCGUAGACGGCAUGGCAAGUCAGAUGUGAAAGCCCGGGGCUCAACCCCGGGACUGCAUUUGAAACUGUCAGGCUGGAGUGCAGGAGAGGUAAGUGGAAUUCCUAGUGUAGCGGUGAAAUGCGUAGAUAUUAGGAGGAACACCAGUGGCGAAGGCGGCUUACUGGACUGUAGCUGACGUUGAGGCUCGAAAGCGUGGGGAGCAAACAGGAUUAGAUACCCGGGUA